CCUCUCUUUUUCUUUCUCUCUCUACUUUCCCCAAGCCACCGCCAGCACUCUUCUCUUCCCGAUCCCCUUCUUCUUCCUCCCUUCUCUUCUUCCUCUCCCGUGGUCUCCCUCACCCCGCUACCUCCUCCUCCCAUGGCCGGCGCGCCCCCGAGCUCCCUCUCCUAGCGUGCCCCGCGGCCCUUGCUCCCCGCGCCUCUCCACCUCGCCCGAGCCGCCUCUCCCCGUCGCCCUCGCUCCCCGCGCCUCUCCACCUCGCUCGCCAUCCACGCGCGUCCCCUGCCGCCAAGCUCCCCCGAGCUCCUCUGCGCCGCACGUGCUCACCCUCUCCCUGGCCGCCUCUCUCUUCCCCGUGGCCCCCUUUCUCCUCUGCCCCCUGCUCGCCGAGCCCCUCCGCGCCAGCGCCGCCUCCACCUCGCUCCUUGCUCCCCGCGUGUUGCUGCUGCUCUUGCGGCCCAGCUCGCCCAAGCCCAGGCCGAGCCCCCUUCGGCCCAUCUACAGCCGCAAGCCCAAGCCAGUGUCUCCGUGUGCUCGUUGAUGUGCUGUUGUUGCCGCCGCUCCGCAUGUGCUUUGCCGCGCCGCGAAGACCGACGAACCACGGAGUCGGAGCCAUGAACGGCUACGACCAUGACAAAUGAACGACUACCUCGUGUACGUCAACUACAUCCUCUACAUUGCGACGCCGCACGACCGUUCCGUGAGACGACCGUUCUUCGGCGUAGGUUGCGAUCGAUGAUAUUCAUGUGUUGUAUGAGAUGCCGUGUAUGUACCGAUAGUAUCGAUAGUUGCAGGUACCUCGUUGCCAUUGGCAUGUGCAGCCCCAACCUAGUCGGAUCUUUGUGUUGUUCUUAUUUAAAACAUGUGUUGCACAUAUCCAUGUCAUUGUCAUGCAUGCUAAUACAACUAUAACAUUGCUGUGUGUAGUUGAUCAAUUAAACUCUUUUCCUUGCAUAUGGAGUUGUAUAAAUGCUAGGUGUAGUGUAUUCGGAAUCCAUUUAAUUUGGUAAUUGUGUAUCGGAUUUACUUUCAGAAUCCUUAAUAUGUCAUGCAUCAUCCCUAUGUCACGCAUCAUUCUUUGAUUGCGCAUCUUAAUUACCAUGUGUAUCUUGUAUGCUUAUACUUUCCUUUUAUGUGGUGUAUUUGUUUCUUCCUCGCUAGUCUUCGAUUCCUACGACGACAACUACACUUGUGUUCUUUUCUCGGGAUUCUUGCUCAAUUCCGGGCAAUUGAGUAUUCCAGGCAAGCAGCCUUUCCUUGACCAUGUUGAUUAUACCUAUUGUCUCUCCCUUAAUCUUGCAUUAAGUUACGAUCUCAGUUUUGUCAUGAUGCCAUUAGGAUUGCAUAGCUUAUUAGUCAGUUCCACUUAUUGCCUUAUGUCUUGUUACUUGUCCUAAUACCAUGUCACAUGUUUGUUGUUGCCCUACAUCUUGGUCAUUAGAUGUCAUGCUUAGUUGCGAGUCUAGUGUCCUUAUAUCUGGGGUUCCACAAUUGCUACAUUCACAUGCUACUUUCUGUAUUUAAACUUGCAAUUGUUAAACUGUGACAUAUUAUUACCUGCAACAAGGCAACGAUGGGAGGCCGUGCUAACGCAUUGGUGAUUUGUUCCAUUUGCGCCGACCUAAGGACUGAGAUCUCGUUUUCGCUGAUCCAAGAAACAUCGCGCUAACCGCUCGUGGGUGAAGAUAUGGCUUCCCCCUCGACUUAGUACUUGAUCCUCAGCUCUUUCAAUGGCCACAUAGUUCGGGCGUUCCAUUUGGCAUUUGCAUUGCAUGCACACAGAGAUUUGUGGAGACUUGUUGGUGACUUUGCAUUCAUAUAGGAUUGCGGCACUAGUCUGGAGUGGUCAUCCUGCGGGCCCUGAUCCACUGCCAACUGUCCUCGCAACUCUUGAAUCCGUACGACGCUUCGGCCGGGCUCUCGUUUCGGAUAGACUCAGUUGGGUGGUCCCCCUGGAUUAGUUGUGGAACUUGGAAACGUCGUAUCGCUCAUGGUAUUCGUGUGUUGGUCAAACGUGUACGGGUAAAUUGGUGCACCCUGCAGGGAUAAAUCUUUCGGAAAUCCGUGACCGCGGUUAUGGACGACUUGGUUGGUCAUCACUUGAUCAUAAAGAACUUAACCAACUUAAUCUCAACAACUUGACUAGUAAUUAGAGUUUAUUCAUGGAUAUGCUUAAAACUGCUUAAGUGUGAGUGUCCUUUGGAUUACUUCCUCACAGGGUGUUGAGGGGGUGAUAUAAGAAUUGUGUUGUUUGGUGUUUAGUAAAUAGAUUAAUCACCUCACUUUGCAGACGCUUCUCAUCCUCUAAUUAAACGUUGUUAUUAGAGUGUCUCUCCAGAUAUUGUUGCUGCUGCAUAACCCCACCAUAUCCAUCCUUUGAAACAUGUUGCAUAUUUAGUUUAGUUCUCCCCGUAAGUCUUGCGAGUACUUUGUACUCAGUUGCUUUGCAACAUUGUUUUCUUCAGAGGUUCCAGUAGAGCAGGUGAGCCGCUAGCUUCUUUGUGAAGCACGACGUUGGACUCGAUGUUUAGCCAGGAGAUCCAGAUCAGGGUUCUGAGACUCGUGGCGGGUUUCCUUCCAGCUUCCAGCCUAUUCAGGCAUGCUGUAUUCUUGUCCGUAUUCGGGCAUAGUUCGACUUUCGCUGAUGUAAUGAUGUAAUGUUGGGACAUGUGUCAUCUCUUUGUAAUAUUUGUUAUUCUGCUCCUUGUAUGAACUUUGUAAUUACUCUCUUCUGUAGAGUUUUGGUAAUGAUAUUCAUGUUGCAAAACCCUGCGAUGAGCACAUUGAUGCAUGUAUGUAUUGAGGUGUUUAUUGUAGGUUGAGAACC